AAACCGUCCUCCUGCGGGUGUGGAGGGACGACUGCUGGCGGGAGGGAGGAGGGCAGCUGCCUUCCCCCAUCAGCAGCGCCGUUCUGGCGUCCCACGGCAGCCCAGAGAACGGAGCAGAGCAAGUCAGCCCCGCAAAGCCCUCGGCCGUGUCAGAUUGGAGGCGCGGAGCAACUGAGGAAACGCAGAACGCACCUGCGUGUGCCGAGUGGAAAUUCACGGCAAUUCGCAAAAGACAGCAGAGAUUUUUAGUAGUAAUAAUAAGAACAAAAGGUUGAUGACUUUC